GCAGUCGACGGUGAUAGCAAUAUCAUAGUGGCGCACGGGUGCGUAACACGUAUGCAACCUACCUUAUACUGAGGGAUAGCCUUUCGAAAGGGAGAUUAAUACCUCAUAACACAUUGAACUGGCAUCAGUUUAUUGUUAAAGAUUCAUUGGUAUAAGAUGGGCAUGCGUCCAAUUAGUUAGUUGGCGAGGUAACGGCUCACCAAGACGAUGAUUGGUAGGGGAACUGAGAGGUUAAUCCCCCACACUGGCACUGAGAUACGGGCCAGACUCCUACGGGAGGCAGCAGUAGGGAAUAUUGGGCAAUGGAGGCAACUCUGACCCAGCCAUGCCGCGUGCAGGAAGAAGGCGUUAUGCGUUGUAAACUGCUUUUAUAUAGGAAGAAAUAGACCUUGCGAGGUAAGUUGACGGUACUAUAUGAAUAAGCACCGGCUAACUCCGUGCCAGCAGCCGCGGUAAUACGGAGGGUGCAAGCGUUGUCCGGAUUUAUUGGGUUUAAAGGGUGCGUAGGCGGUUUAUUAAGUCAGUGGUGAAAGACGGUCGCUCAACGAUUGCAGUGCCAUUGAUACUGGUAGACUUGAGUGGGAUUGAGGUAGCUGGAACGGAUAGUGUAGCGGUGAAAUGCAUAGAUAUUAUCCAGAACACCAAUUGCGUAGGCAAGUUACUAAGUCUCAACUGACGCUGAGGCACGAAAGUGUGGGUAUCAAACAGGAUU
rnacentral:rRNA from 1 species